GAGAGCCAUAGAGAUAUAGGGAGGCUAAGGAUGAGUAAACUAAACAAAUCAAGCUCUGAAUUGGACUUGGAUCGACCAAACAUCGAAGAUUAUCUCCCCUCUGGUUCCAUUCAAGAACCUCAUGGCAAGCUUCGCCUGCGUGAUCUACUUGACAUCUCACCAACUCUGACGGAGGCAGCUGGU